GAAAAAUUACUUUAAAUAAUCCAACCUUUAGACGAUUUUUCGUUAAUAAUCCAACCUUUUGAUUAUUAUCUAAUAAUCCAACCUUUGCACCCCAUUAACUUUUAUUGCACCAAAAUGACGGAGAACCGGUUGAGAAGGUCAAAUUUAUAAAAAGAAAAAAAAUAUUAAUUUCUGCCUCCUUUUUACUCCUUCCUUUGUUUCUUUCACUGUUGAGCUCCUUCUACCUUUCAGCCAUGGUCUCAUGAAAGAACACCAUAAUUUCCGCCCCUUUAUACACUCACAACACCCAAAAAUCUCCCAUAAAAUACCAUAAAUCAAUGACCAUAACCACCGCAAAAGUACCACGAACCCAAUCAGCCUCGAAUAUCUCCUAUCUUUCUCUCUCGUUCCCCUGUUUUUCUCUCUCCUCCGCAACACCGUAUCCCCCUACGAGCAUCCUCGUCCCCCCCUCCCAGCUACCACCAGCCCUAUUAGAAAAGCUACCCUGCCUCCAUGAAACAUAGACCCUACAUGGAAGCUGUGGAGAGAGAAAUUGAGCAGUCGUUAAUGGCGACAACGACGAUGACACACAAGAGUUCAGAUGAUUCAAACUUUCUGUAAAUCAAGAUGAAGCAGAAGCAUCAAAAGACAAAAGCCCCAAAAACUGAAGAAGCAAAAGGGUGUAUUGGGAUUUGAUUUUAUUCGAUUUUGAUUUUGAUUUUGAUUUGAUGAAAAGUUUAAGUGAUUUUGAUUGAUACCAAAUGUCUGGAGUUUAAUUUCAUUAACAUAUUAGCAAAUUUGCGGUAUUUAAUUUGAUUAUUUUUUUUUAAUAUAUUGAUUUUAAUUUUGAUUUGGAUGAAUAGAGUUUAAUGUUGAAAGAGGAGGGAGGAAGGAGGAAGAAAUGAAAAAUAAAGAAAGUAUUUUUUUAAUUUUUUUUUCUUCAAAUUAUAACGAAUGGUUGUAUGACACGUGGUAUGUUACCUGCUGUAUCAGGUUAAUGACCGGUAAGGUGCAAUAAAAGUUAAUGAGGUGCAAAGGUUGGAUUAUUAUAUAAUAAUUAAAAGGUCGGAUUAUUAACGGAAAAUCGUCGAAAGGUUGGAUUAUUUAAAGUAAUUUUUCCAAUUUUUUAACACUCCUUCCCUUAUCAAGAGUCUCCUCGCACUGCAAAUUUCAUCUAGCAAUUAUCUUGAUAAUCAUCAAUUCAUCAACAUUACGCAAUCAUAUUCUUCAACUAGUUGUUACUGUCGUCAAUCAUCUUUGUUGUCGUCGUAGUCGAUAAGAUUAAUGAUAGAGGAAUCAAUGGCGACAAAUCAACUCUUACCCGAAGGUUCUAAUGUGGAUGAGAUUCAUCAAGAAGAAGACGAAACGAGCCUAGCCAUCACCAAUUACAAUCUGAAAAUGAAGAGCGUGUUGAACGUCAAAGGAGGAGAAAAUGAGACGCCUAACAAAUGCAGAAGCCCUAUGAGUAUAAUUAAGGAGUGGGUUCCUGUAUGUGAAGAUAAUUUGAAACCUCAAGAAGGUAUGGAGUUCGAUAACCUAGAGGAAUGUGAGAAAUUCUACAAAAAAUAUGCUCAUCAAGUCGGUUUUAGUGUCCGUAAAUCAUCUACCAAAAGGGAUAAAAAAAACUGGAUUGUUGAAGUAUAAAACUUGUGUUUGUGCAAAAGAGGGUUUUAGAGAAGCUAAAUACGCAGGUAAGCAAAAAGUACGAAAUGCGAAAUUGAGUAGGGAAGGGUGUGAGGCUUUGGUUGGUUUUAACCGAACGCCGGAGGAUAAAUAUGUAGUGUACAAGUUUCACGAAGGUCAUACCCAUUUACUUGCAACCCCUAGAAAGCGUCACAUGCUAAAAUCAAAUAGGGAAAUGACUAAUGUCCAUAGAUUCUUGUAUAAGGCAUUUGCUCGUGCCAAUGUUGGCGCAUGUAGAGUGCAUCGUUACAUAAAGGAACAAGUUGGUGGGGAUCAAAAUGUUGGAUGUAGUAAGCAUGAUUAGAAAAACUUCCAAAGAGAUUUGAGCCUUCAUAUUAAAGAUUAUGAUGUUGACAUGUUUAUUGAGAAUUUCAAGAGAAAACAAAAAAUCGAUCCUUCAUUUUAUUUUGCAUAUGAGAUAAACAAGGCCACACGCCAAUUGAGACAUGUGUUUUGGGCAGAUGACAUUUCUAGAAAAAAUUAUGCAUUAUAUGGAGAUGUUGUGUCAUUUGAUACUACUUAUGACACUAACAGAUAUAAGAUGAUCUUUUCUCCAUUUACUGGUCUUGAUAAUCACAGACUUUGUAUUACAUUUGGAGCAGCAUUUUUGGGGGAUGAGAAAGCUGAAUCUUUUUCGUGGUUAUUUAAAAAGUUCUUAGAUACAAUGGAGGGUCAUAAACCUGUUUGCAUCAUCACUGAUCAAGAUCCUGAUCAAAAAUGUUUUUGACACUUCUACUCAUAGGUUUUGCAUAUGGAAUAUAAUGAGAAAACUUUCAGAAAAGGUGGGAAGCACUUUGAGUAGUAAUGAAGUUUUUAAGAACCAAUUUAAGUCUUGUGUGUAUAAUUCAGAGACAAAGGAGGAAUUUGAAUCAUCUUGGAAAUCAGUUAUCAAUGAAUUUGAGUUUCAAAAUAAUGAUUGGCUUUCUCAGAUGUUUUCAAUUAGGAACUUGUGGAUACCAGCUUAUUUCAGAGAUGUUUUCAUAAGAGCUAUAUUAUGGACAACGUCGAGGUCUGAAAGUGAAAAGUUUUUUUUGUAGUUUCACAAAUCCGCUUUGAGUCUAGUGGAGUUCUAGAUGCAAUUUGAGAGUGCUGUAGAAUCACACAGACAUUCUCAAUCAAUGUCUGACAAUGAUAACUUUUCUUUAAUUCCCGAACUAAGAACAAAUAGGGAUUUGGAGAGACAUGCAAGUCAAGUCUACACUUUCACUAACUUUUACAAGUUUCAAGAGCAGUUGUAGCUUGCUUGUAUGGAUUGUAAAGUUGAGGACAAGAAAGAGACAGAAGAGGGACUAGUUAUAACAAUAUCUAAUCAUGCUCGAAAAAAUGGGAAGAUGCGUGAGGUUGUAUAUAACUCUCUCAGUCAUGUGGCACGCUGUUCGUGCAAAAUGUUUCAAUGUGAAGGCAUUCCAUGCCGACAUAUAUUAUGCAUUCUGAAGGGAAAAGGUUUGUCUGAAGUUCCAGGUUGCUAUAUCUUGAACAGAUGGACCAAGAUGGCAGCAAGCAAGUCAAUUUUUAACGUGUCUAGUAACCUUUUGGAAGGUUGUUCCAAAAGAGAUAAUGAGGAUAAGCUCAUUUCUAAUAAUUGGUUGGAAUUCAUGAACUGCAUGAAUUUGGCAGGAAGAGACCCUGAUAAACUAACUCUUAUCUCAAAUGAAUUACAAAAUGUGUCAAAACAAUUAAAAGAGUUUGAGAGUAAUCCCACUGAGAGCAAGACACAAGAGUUGGAAUCUUUUAUCGGAUCAAGUGCAUCAAAAGAAGUUGAGAUUCUUCCACCAAAAUAAUCGAAUACAAAAGGAUCUGGUAAACGUAUGAAAGGGGGAAAAGAGAAGGCAAUGGAACAACAAGAAAAGAAACAGAGACAUUGUAAAAGUUGUGGUCAUUUGGCAUACCAUGAUAGCCGCAAUUUCCCUGCAAAGCUCUCUAUUUAACCAGGGUGUUCUGUUGAUGUGAUGUUGUCUGUGGCUACUAUUUUGGCUCUAGCUGGUGGUGGUGGUAGUGGUGGUGGUAUUGCUGAUUCUGAUGUGGUGGUGAUGGUUAUGGUGCUGCUUUUGAUGUGGUGUUGAUGCAGUCGUUUAUUUUCUACCACCUGCUGCUGUUUUUUUCAUUGGAUAAUAUGGAAAAUUUUGUGCUGGUUCAGCUUCAGUACUUGUUUGAGCAAUAAGCUGAAGUAUGUAUUAUGUAUCAUUGUUUUAGGGUGACAGUUUGAUAUCAAACUCAAUUGUGUCAUGUGAGCAGUUGAUGUACUUAAGAAGUCGGAAUAUUGGCUUAUGCAGAAGACAACUUUAUAAAAAUUUCCUCCUUGUUGCAAGGUUAGAUAAUGUGACUAUUGGAUCAAACUAAACAUCAUUAAUAAUGAUGUCAAUAUGGGAAUUGUAUUAUGCUUCAGAUCAAUUCACAGGAUACUAAUUGCUAGAUCAAUCAUACCAAUCAUGAUUCAUGAGGAGGCAACACUGGCACAAGAAAUUAGUAUCUGGCCUGCAGUUCUACCAGCCUGACAGUAUGUGUUCAUCUGAAAUCGUUUGAGUCGGGUUUCACAAGUUUGAGUUGUAGAGAUGAAGAAGAGAAUCCUAAUGAUUUGGGGUUUCACAAGUUGGGCUACUGGUCUAACUAGUCUACACUCUAGUAAACUGUC